rnacentral:misc_RNA from 1 species
GAAAUGCGAUAAGUAAUGUGAAUUGCAGAAUUCAGUGAAUCAUCGAAUCUUUGAACGCACAUUGCGCCCCCUGGUAUUCCGGGGGGCAUGCCUGUCCGAGCGUCAUUACAACCCUCAAGCUCAGCUUGGUAUUGGGUAUCACCUUUGGUGGUGUGCCCCAAAAUCAGUGGCGGUCUCGCUGUAGCCUCCUCUGCGUAGUAACA